ensembl:lncRNA
CACCAGUGUUGUAGUGACAACCAGGGCCCUAGUUUCUCUCAGUCUGAGUCUGGCGGUUACAAGCUAAGACAUGUUUUCCCGUCUUCGCAAGCGUUUUGGGAGGGGGAACGUCGAUUAUGGAGAGACUAGAGUGAAGGAGUUUGGCCUUUCGUCUCAAAGUACAAAGACAGCACUUUUGGGGAAUGUCGAGUAAGCUCUGAGCAGUAUAUAUUGAGCUUCCUGUCAGGGGGGCUGGAGGCUUACGCUGACCAUUCUAGCAAUGGGCCACAACAACUGGAGCAUCUGAAAAGGAAUUGAAUUUCCACGAAUAUCACAAUUCCUUAAAGUCAAGAUUUCAGAACAUUAGAUUCUCCAUCCCCACUGGGAGGAUAUGAGAUCAGCUCCUCGCCAUUCUGACAAGCAAACAAAAGGGAAGGCGAAGGACCUGAAGAAGAUGGAGGAGAAUAAUGAAAGCCUCCUUUAAAAGCAGAGACCAAUUCUUGAAGCUGAUCCCAAGUUGGCAACAGCGUGGUAGAUGAGCGACCAUGCAGCUGAAGCCUGGUGAAAGCAGAAGUGAGGCGCUGCUCAGAGCUGUCUGGCGUCAUCAGGAAUGAGGCACGCUCCGCUCUCAUCUUUCGCUGUCGGUUGUUGAGGGGAGACUUUCUGCUUUUCUGCCCUGGGAUUGUAUGAUCUGAUGAGGCGGUCCGGAAUCCAGACUGGUGACUCGGCAUCCUGUGGAAAGACACAUGCAUGCCCCCUUGCGGAGGAGAGAAGAACAUCUGGUCCCUUCCACGUAGAUGAAACAGCUUUCUGCAAAUCUAAGGGAUGGUGAUGUUCCCUAGGAUCGCAAUGGUGCUGUUGCAGAUCUACCUUGAGAAUCUUUUUUUCCCUUUUCUUCUUUUUCUUCCAUCUAAAUUAAAUUGGGUAUUUCUCAUUUACAUUUCAAAGGUUAUUCCCAUUCUCAUUUCCAGGCCAACAUUCCCCUAACCCCUGCCCCUACCCUUCUAUAUGGGUGUUCCCCUCCCCAUCCUCCCCCCAUUACCGCCCUCCCCCGAGGAAUCCAGUUCACUGGCGCUCCAACCUUGACAGGACCAAGGGCUUCCCUUCCACUGGUGCUCUUACUAGGCUAUUCCUUGCUACCUAUGCGGUUGGAGCCCAGGGUCAGUCCAUGUAUAGUCUUUGGGUAGUGGCUUAGUCCCUGGAAGCUCUGGUUGGUUGACACUGUUGUUCAUAUGGGGUCUCAAGCCCCUCCAGCUCUUUCGGUCCUUUCACUGAUUCCUUCAAACGGGGUCCCAUUCUCAGGUCAGUGGUUUGCUGCUGGCAUUCGCCUGUGUAUUUGCUGUAUUCUGGCUGUGUCUCUCAGCAGAGAUGUACAUCUGGUUAUUCAAAUAAUUACUUACAAAAAGAGCAUGAUAAUAAGUGAGUGGGGGAGACAUAUUUUAAUUCUCCUCCCUGUACCUUAGCCAUUUGUGUCUUUAAUAUUUGGUUAGAUCUCUCAAUAAUUGCCUGCCCUUGAGGAUCAUAUGGAAUGCCUGUAGUGUGUCUAAUAACAAAUUUAAUACAAAAGUUUGCAAAGGCUUUAGAUUGAUAAGCAGGACCAUUAUCAGUUUUCAGAUGCAGCAGGAUGGCAAGAAAUGCAAAAGAAGCAAACAGAUGCUGCUGUACAUCCUUGAAUGCUUCUCCCGUCCUGGCUGUGGCCAAAAUAACUCCAGAAAGGUAUCAACAGUAUCUUGAACAAAGGAAAAAUUUCCAAAACAUGAAACAUGAAU